AAAAGAAAAUAUUAUUUUGACACAAAGCACAAAGCAGUACGUCUUUCUUCACCAUUCUUAAGAAAGAAUACUUUUCUCCUAAGAGAAACAAAGAAAAAAAAUGAGUAUUCUUAAAAAAUCUUCUCCUAAAAAAAUUGCUCAAUCAAGAUGGAGCAACGGAGUGACACGUCAUACCGGAUUAGCGGCGCAUUUGACAGAAUUAGCGACGCGUAUGAUCGGAGAUAAUUUUCUGAAAGAUUUAAGGGAAGUCUGAGUACGUGAAUUCAAAGAUAAGGAGCAUGUUUGAACUUAAAUAUGGAGAGCGCACGACUCUUGAUUAAAAUUGAAGAAACGCGUUGCUAGCUUGGCACUAGAGGGUCUCAGGAAGUAUCUUUAAUCCUUGUUUUAUUUGGUUUAUUGCUUUAGGAAUAAUGCAUAAUUUUAAGUGUGGAGUGAAGUAUCUUUCAAUAUUUGUGAAGGAUAAAGUAUGUUAUAUGUUUUACUUAGUUAUUUAUUUAUUUUUAGCUGAAAAUAGAUUUUUUUUUUUAGAAAGUCCAAAAAAUACAAAAAAAAAAAUUAUUUUUAUUCUUUAUAUUAAAAUAGUUUUUUAUUAUGUUUUUUUGUAUAUAUUUAGUAGAGCAUACUUUGUCCACCCUUGAUUUUCUUUUCGGUUAUUUUUUGAAAAAGGGGCUCUUUGAACAAUAUUACAUUUUUGGAAAUAAUUUUUUUAUUUGUAUGUUUUUUUCUUUGUAGGAGUAUUUUUUUUUUGUAGAGAAGAAAUGAUUUUUUAAUUGAUACUAGCAAUUUAGACCUAAUCUUGAGCAGAAUGUUUUAGUAAGUUUCAGUAUAAAUAAAAUAAUAAACUUUUUGAUAGUUAGGCUCAUGGUUAUGACAUUGUAUGUAUACCUUAUUCUUAUUUUUAUAGUUUGCUAUGACCCUAUUUCUCAUAGAAGUGAAAUUGAUCCAUCUUGAUGAUACUUGUGAUAUGUAUGGUGAAGAUUUUUUGCAUAUAUUCCAUGUUUUGCAUCUUAGUCUAGAACUUUUCUUGCAUGUCAUUGAAGUGAAAUAAAAAGUAUUUUUUUUUUUUUUGAAUAUGAUAAUAGGUGUUCUUUGAUAUGUCUUAUAAAUUUUAGCGUUUUAAGAUAUUAUAUCACUAGUUAGUCCGUUUGGGCAUGUAGCCUAUUUAUUUGUAGUCAUAUUUUUAUUUUGAUCCAUUUUUUUAUUUCUUAUUUUUUGCACCCUGCUUCCUUAAGUACUAUAGCAUAAAAUAUGUUGAAAGUGUUAAACCAAAGAGAAAAGUAGAUGGUUAAGUGUAAAAGGGGACCAAUGAUAGCUACAAAGUGAUGAAAAGUGGAAAAAAGAUCUUAAGGAAAAAAUGAUUGAAAUAUCUUUGAUAAGAUGAGUAUUACUUGUGCAAAUAAUUGAUGAAAAUAGGAAUGAAGAAAAAAGUGACGAAAAUAAUGGUUGAUGAAGUUUGAAAAGUCCAAAGUGCUUAGUGAAGUAUAAGUCACUAUUAUAUAAUCAUCCAACCCGUCCCUUAGCCUACAUUACAACCCGUUAAAGUCCUUUUUAUUUCUAUUAGAGCAUGUUUAAUCAGUGGAGAUGUACAUAAAGGGGAAGCCUAUGGUACUUUGUGCAUACAUAUAAGUUUUUGGUAAGUGUAAGAGUUGUUCUUUGAAGAUAAGUCCUUAAUGUAUAUUCAAUUUUUUAUUUGAGUGUGUGAAAUAUUUCUUCUUGUGAAGGCACUUGUUUCAUGAAAGAUAAGGGAUAUUAUUAGCUUUCUCUCACAAGAAUGGGUAACUGAACUUAAAUUUGAUAACUUAGAGUGCAUCUUUGAGGUUAUGAGGUUAGAUGUUUGUUGUAUGGUUGUAUUUCUUGAAUAAUGAUUAAAAAGUGUACUUGAUAUUGUGAAUUGUUAUAUGGUCUAAUUAUUUGUAUAAAUCAAAGUGGUGGAAUCUCUAGAUUUGAUUAAUUGAGAUGUGUUUUAAUGCUUGCUCGAGGACUAACAAGAGUAUAAGUGUGCAGUGUGUUCAUGUAAGGCCAAAAUUACAUAUAUUUAGUCAAUUUUUACCUCAUAUUUAGUAGUUUUUUUUUUUUUUUUGAACAUUGAUUUUAUGGAUUAUGCUUAAUAGUAUAUUUUUAUUUAUAGAAUUAAAUUAGUGUGAAGAUGAAGAAAUUUAGAGCAAACAUAGAAUUAAAAUGAAGAAAUUAUAUAAGAGAAUCAAGUAGGCAGCUUAAUAGAUUAAAUUUACUAAAAUAUUGGAAUGCCAAAUUUAUGUUAGGCGACUGGGCAUUUCCACGUGGCAACAUCUGGACUCAAUAGAAAUGUUAAGGCGGUUAUGUGUUUUUUGAUGAAAUCCAAUCUAAUUCGGAUUUACUUUUUAUUUCUUAGUUGAUAAUUAUUAGUACGUUGAAACUUUAAAGAAGUAACUUGUAAACUUUCAUUUAGUGAACUCUUGGAGCUGUUGUGGAGGCCAAGGAAAAAUUUCUUUAUUUUUUUUUCUCCAUUUUUAUUAGUUUUUCUUUAAUAAUUCAAAACUCUAUGUUUACUCUACUCACUUUAUAAGUUCAUAAUUACGAUUUUUUCUACGAAUUCUAAUUGUGAUUUUGAAGUCAAGAGUAGCUAAAUCCCACAAUUAAGAUUGUGGUAACCAUGAUGAAUUAACAAAAUAGGGUUAAGUUCAAAGUCAUUCUAGAUUGAUGUUCUUGCAUGUAUUGGUAUUUCCUUCAGUUUGUUGCUUUCUUGAUGGUGGUUAAUGUUAGGAAUUCACCUUUAUUCAACACUUGCUCGAGAGAGAGGUAGAGAUUAGAAAAAAAAUAACAACAGUAAUUUCAAGCUACCAACUUUCAUCUAAUUAACUUGAGCCGUAACUGGGAUAGUUAAUAUGGGAUCACAAAAGAAGGAUUAGUAAUGUGAUGCUCUGAGUCCAAGAGGAGAUGAGUGAAAUUCAUCUAAACCAAGGUCGAGAAAUUGUAGGGUGAUACACAUCUUGUUAGAAUUUGCAUGCAAAGCAUAAGAAUAGAUUGCUAGCACGAACAACCUAUGUAAUUAUGAAGUCAUGGGGAACACAGUCCUAGUUCAUCAUUCUCAUUAAUUUUUUCAACAUAAACUAGUCUUUGUUUGCUUGUUACUUCAAAUUAAAAAUUAUUAACUUGUUCUUUUUAAUCCCCUCUUUCAAAAAUAGUUAAUAAAUAGUCUAAAUAAACAAUAUUGACCUAGGUCCUAAUCAUAUUCCUCAUGGGAUCGACCUCAACCUAGUUGGGUUCUAUAUUUAUUUGAUGACCAUUUUAUAAUUCAUUUUGAGGUAUAAUUUGAGCGACAUCAGUCAGCUCUUGGGUCACCACUCAGCUCAGUUUUCAUCCUUCUUUCUCUGUUUUUGCUUUGAAACCUGUUUUUCAGUACAGCAAACAUAAAAACAUAAUUUAUCUAUCAUAAAGAUCUAAGUUCCUACAUAAUUUCCUUGAUAUAGGCAUAUAAUGUGUCAUUUGACCAUGAAACAUCAACAACCUCACUUAGAAUGUUUACAUGUCCUCAGGCAACUAAAAUAUACUAAACAAGAACGAUGCUUAACUAAGAGAAAUCUAAGGCCCCUACUACAGUCAAUUUACUAUUCAGUUUAAACUUUCAACCCCAUCCUUUGCACGAAUUCAAAACCAUUGUGUAUAUAUAGCACAAUGUCAUGACAUCAAAGAAAUCAAGUGAUGGCAAUAGAUUAGCAAAAAACAACCAAAAAUGUAUGCAAAUACAUUACUUGAACAAAUAAGCCGCUAACAAUCCAACCCACGUACCCUUACAGCAAAAAAGUCCCCUACUCUCAAAGUAUAAUAAUUAAUAUCGAUGUAGGGACUUUAUCAAAUUACUCAUGCUCACAAAGAAGUUCAAACAGUUUGCAUGAAAUACCACAGGCUUGCCCUUAUUUUCUACGUCUUAGUUUAUCGGAAAAUUGGACUCGGAUCACUAUAGGACUUUCCUUGUUUUGUAAUGUAUGUUUGGGGGCAGCUAUAGUGCAUAUAUGUGAUAGUUACUCAACCCUCCUUGAUGCUACACUUAUAUUUUUGGCUCCACUAUUCUACCACAUUUUUAUUCUCCUUUAUUUAUUUUCAGACUGGGUGUGGGUUUCUUCAUGCUCUCUAUUUUUAAUUUCUUUUCUCUUAUCUUUUUUUUCCUUUUCUUUCAAUUUUUUCUACCUCACUCAACCCUACAUUCUUUUCUUUUCUCAACUUCUUCUUCAUACUCAUCUUCAACUAUGCACCUUAAUGAUAGCCACUUUUAACUUUGGAGAUUUUCCUGAGUUGAGGUGUAUAAUAACUAAGGAGGUACCAGGGCCAAAAUAGGUUCAUUGUAAUUAAAACGAGAAGGUGAAUGGAUAAAACAAGAAAAUAAGUCACUUUUGGCUAAAAUUUGGGACCAAGAGAUACUUAUUUUCAUUUGUUUGGUCUUUUAGGAUAAAAGUGAAAUUAUUCAAACAUGGUAUAUGAUCUUAUUCCAAUCCACUAUCCUACAUCCUAGGCAAGACUAAUUGGACAUGUUCUGAAUUACACAAACAAAGCGAACUAAGUAAACACCUCUCACACACAUUGCAUAAGUUUACAUUAUUAACUACCACCUAUUCAAUUCAUGCAAUGCUAAUCUAAGGUUAUUUUGUCACUAAUAUUAAUGCCAUCACAAGAUUCAACAAUGGUCACAGUUUCAUAACUUCACAACAUAUAGAUCAUAACAAAAAUAGAAAGGGUAUCAUUUUAUUCAUCAUAAAAAAUCAAAAUGUUCGACUUCACCAAGGUUCCUUAUUUUUCUCAUAAUUAAAAAAAAACAUAACAUAUAUGAUGAAUAAUACAAUAUACUAAAAAUGUCAUCUCUAAAAUGAUAACACAAUUUGAGGAAAUGAGACACAAUAACAAAAACCCUAAGUGGACAUCUAGACCCAUAAGAAGCCCAACCCCCAUUAAAAAACUAUGUACUAUCCGCAAUGUAUUAGGCCAAAGUAAAUCAAAGGAGUUAGGAACAUAAUUGUGGCACCAUUGGUGCAUAGGUAAGAUGUCAAUCACACUAAGAAAAUCAAAAUAAAUGCAGAAAUAAUAAAACACCUUGGUUUGCCUCUCAAGCAAUGCUUGAUUUAACAUUGUAAUACGCCUUGGGGUUUUUGAUUACUCAGGAUUCAUCAAGAUAGCCAUUUGUUUGGUUUUUAGAGUCAUCAAAAGUAUUUAUUACCAUAACCAUCCUCAUGUUUGUUAGCUGUUUCAUAGUUUUGCAAAUAUUGAAUGUGACUUCCUCAUUAUUUAACUUGAACUUUAGCUCACCUUUUUCCAUAUCCACUAACGCUCUACCAAUGUCCAAAAAUAGUCUCCCUAAAAUUACAGGUAUUUCAAAACCAACCUUGCAACCCAAGAUCACAAAGUUGACAAAAUGGUAAAGUUGUCUACCUUGACAAAAACAUCAAACGAUAUGCCCACAGGCUUCUUCACCAUAUGAUCUAUCAUUAAUAACCACAUUGUUGUUGGUUUGGGAGGUUGUAAAACCAGCUGUUUGAGCACUUCCAAUGGCAUCAAUUUAAUGUUAUCUCCUAGGCCACAUAAAGCCUUGGCAAAGUUAUAUGACCCAAUUAUGUAAGAGAUUGUGAAGGCAUCGAGGUCGCCAUUUUUGUUGCCUAAGAGAAUGAGAUACAAUUGCACUAUAAUAAUGCAAGCCACUAGUAGGUUCAUAACUAACAGUUCUAUUAUUAGUAAUCAAUUCCUAGAUAAACUUAUCAUAACCAGGCAUCAACUCUAGAGAUUCAAUAAGAGGGAUGUUCACAGUUAGCUAUUUUAGUAUAGAAAUAAAAUUUUUAUAUUUUCCAUUUUAAUCUGUAGGAAAAAGGCGAAAGAGGUUAGACGAUGGACUUCAAUGUUAGUUUAAUGUCCUUACCCUUUGUCUUAGCAGUCUUAGCUUUCUUCUAUAUAACUAGAGUCUUCUGAGAGGCCUCAUUAUUCAUUACCAAUUUUUUAUUUCAUCCUCAAUGCUUAUGGAAUCCUUCCCCAUUUUAUCAAUACAGUCAUAGGUGGAUUAAUAGUUUCUUUACCUCUUCAAGUAGCGAUAUCUAGACAAUGACUAUUUUUCUUAGGAUUUUGCACAGUAUUGCUAGGAAGAGUGAUAGGUGGAUACUGGUUUAAUAUGGUAGACAUCUAUCCUAACUUCUACUUAAGAUGCUUAAUAGCAGUUGCAUGUGACUCUACCUUUUGUCUCAAUCCUAAAAUAUUUGCCUUAAUUUUUUUAAGGCAACUAUCUUGGCUCUCUGAACCCUUCACAAGAGUUGCAAGCACUGCUUCUAUUCUCAAACUCGUAGACUCAACAUCUUAGUUUCUUUGUGGAACAUAAAGUCCACUCUUAUCCUUGUAGUCAUCUUUUUUUCUUCAGUCACCAUCACGCUCUAUACUCUUAUCCCUGUACCUAUGUUUAUAGUAGUUCCAAUCUUGAUUUUCCUGCCUUGAGUUCUAAGUAUAUUGAUUAGACCUUUGGCCCUUGACUCGAUAACCCAUCAUCUCUCUAUCAAAACUUAGCUUCUUCUCAGAAUUUAACUUAUCAUGUCUUAAAUCCUUACCUCGAGCACCCACUACAUUUACCUUUUCUACGCUAAUUACUGUAAAUUAUUUCAUAAAUAGGCCAAUAUCAAUUCUCAAUUUUGAUCCUCUUAAGCCAUUGACUCAUCUAUUUCUCUCUGCUCACUAUAAGCACCAAUAGAAUAAGUAUAGGCUAAUCUAUCCACUGUUCAAGUAUGCAACCUUCAGUUGUUUUUAAUGAUUGAGCCUAAGAUUUUCAAAGCAUGCUACCAGCGAAAACUCAUAAAUGCUUCUUCUAUAAUAGUAUCAGCCACAACCAUAGCAUUAGUAUUCAAGGCUUCAUAGAAUAUCUCAAGCAAGUUUUUCCUUGUGAUUCUGUGGUUUGGAAUAUUCUAAUGCUUCUUCUUAAACCUCAACUACACCUCAUAUAAUUCCCCUAAAUACAACUGCCAGAAAUUAUAGAUCUUAUCCUUCAAUUGCAACAUUCUAGAAGGCAGGAAAAAUUGGUCCAAGAACUAUCCUCAACUCACUAAAAGUGGUGAUAGAUCUAUAAAGCAUCUCUCCUAACCAUAAAGUUGCCUCUCCUAUUAGAGAGAAUGGGAACAACCUCAGGCAUAUAAAUUCCUGACUAACUCUAGGCAAAUUAUACAAAGUGUAAAUCCCAUCAAAGUUUAUUAGGUGUAUAUCUUCAUCAUCAGUAGGAAGACAAGAAAACACCCCUUUUAAGUUUAAUAACUGGAUUAUUACACUCAUGUUAUCAAAUUUAGUCCCUUAGAGAACUUAUGAAGGAAUGAUUAUACCUGUUUCUACUAUUUAACAAAUCUGAGAUCCUAAUCUGGAUCAUCAUACACUGGUAGAUAUUUCUAGAUGUGUAGUGGACCUCUAUUUCUUCUCAUUCUAUCCCUUUUAAGUAUGGCUUGAUUCUCUUUCUUAUAAUGAUUGUCUAGACUAUUUCCUUGAUUUACAUACCUAUCUGAUAUUGUAAACCUUUCCAUAAUGGCUAUAGGUCUUUUAUAACUUGUUAAAACUGUCGAUUUAGUUAUCAGAUAGUUCAUUUAGGUUAGAAUUAUUUUUCUAUUUUAGAGCUUUUAUUCUUUAGGACAUGGUCUCAGACCAAAACACCUAUUUUAUGACCUUGGAUAAAAAUUAUGAUAGUGCCAUCAACUUUGAAUUAUUAAUUUAGGCUAGAAGGACCUUUGGUUCAGGUCAAUAUGCUUCCAAACACGUUUUAGGAUAUUGGGUGGAUUAUAUAAAAAAUGGAACUAUAGGUGUGGGCUCAAUAUUUAGUCAAAAUGAUCUCAUAUGAAAUUUUUGAUGGUUCCAUUGAGUAUAAAAUGUCGAAUUGGGUAUGGUGGCAUAGUUUGUUUAUGUGCAUGGGAUUCUGAACCAAUCUCAAGCACCUAAUCGGAGUUUGUUUUUGAAAUUAGCAAAAUCUGGUACCUGGUAGUUGAUAUGACUAUAAUAGCACUCAUAGAGUUGCUUUAGUGGCCAAUGGUUUAGCAUCCAUGAGACACUUAAGUAGCCUUGGCCUAUUGGAUAAGUCUUAUUUUUGCGGUAAAGGGCUCGCUUAAGCGAACCCUACUUUAGUGUAGAGGUGGCCUCUUUAGCGGUACUCGUAUAGAGUAGCCAGACCACUUUAGCAGCAGGUACUUUAGCACUAAGGUGAAUGCUUAAGCAGCACCUAGAGUCUGUUUAAUCCUCUUUCCCCACCUGAUUUCCCAUUACUUCUUUAACCACUUUCACACUAAUUUGAGAGCUCAAAGAGAGGAAAGAGUGGGAAAUCAUCCAUUGAAGCUAGGGUAAACUAGCCUAACAAUACUUGGUCAUUUCAAAUUAAUUUUUUCAUCAAUUUAUAUCCUAUUACAAGGGAAUUUCUUAGAAAUUAGUCCCUUAAAUUCCUAAACAUUAAGGGUUGAUUUGGGCUCCGAUUCAUGAACUAUUGGCGCUCAAAUUUUUAUCAUACGUUCUUUAUCCUUUGAGGGACCUUGUGAUGGAUCCAAUUUGGAUUGUAUUUAUGGGCCCCAAGUGCUCGUUCUUACCUAAAUUUUGGCCUAAUUUUUUAUAAAUUAAUAUAAGGCUUGUUUUACUCAUAUUGACUUGUAGAUUACGUUUUAGAUAGUAUGGUGGCAUUCAAAUAUUAGAGUACAAGAGGAUGAUUUAUGAGUGAUUCGAGGACUUGUGGUUCAGUAGCGAGGUAGGCAUAUACCUACUCUUUUUUAUGAGAUAGUGUAUUAUAUAUGUUUCAUGCUAGAUAGGGAUGGUGCAAUGUGAUUAUGGGUAGAACACCAUGACUUAACCUAAAUUAUGAGUUCAAGCACUAGAAGUAUAAAUCGGCCCUUAAUAUGAAAUACUUAUUAUACUUCUAAAAUCCUAUUACCCUAGGUUACUAGAAUAUUGGAUAUAGUUGAGACUUAUAACACCUUUAGUACAAGGUUUACUACUUAACUCGAUGUAUAAGGCUAGUUUCCCAAAUUAUUAUAUGGUUAUCCCGGAUAUAUAUAUAUAUAUAUUAUUGGGCCUAAGGCCAUGAUUAUGAUAUUAGUUGGAUUGGGGGGGAUGAUUUAUCCUUGUAAAGGACGUGGUUUAGUCUAUUGACAUUUAGAUACUUGUAGUUGUAUUUCUUGGAUACUAGUGAUGGCCUUGCAUAGAAUAGGUAGAUUCAUUCUCACUAAAUGGUAUGAUUCCAACUAAAAACAUAGUUUUACUACAGUUUUUUCAAAAAAGGGAAUUAUACCCAAUUUUUACUUUUUAAGCUGAUUCAUUCAUAACGGGAGUCGUACCACCUUAAUAAGUAAUUCACCGACUUAUGACAUUAAAAAUGAUGUUUUAGAUAUUUGGCCGGGAUAGAUUUUUGUCUACGCUUUUAUUACUUCUAUUUACUUUGGUCGAGAGAUAUUCUGAUCUUUUCUACACUUUUAUGAUUAUUUAGCCUAAAAAUUGAUUCCAACAGUGGAUUUAUGAACUUACACUCUUUUAGACAUGAUUUCUGUCUGUGCAUUUAUUAUAUAUAUAUAUAUAUAUAUAUAUACAUAUACCAGGUUGAUGUAUAUGAGUACUUUUGAACCCUCUAGAGGCCCCUUCAUCUGUGAUCUUUCAGGCUAGAGAAGAGAGGUCAUCGUAGAUCCUUCCUUUAUGAGCUGUUAAGCUGGAGGAGGUGUAUACAAUGGGUCACUCUAUAGAACUAGGAUCGGUUAUGGUAUCAUGUAUUUACUCAUAUUCAUUUGCCUAUAACCAGCAUAUUAUUUGAUUCCUAUAUCUGUCAGCCUUAUAGGGGUUGCAUAGGUAUGGGUUAUGAGUGUUAUUUGUUGUGUGUUAUAUGCUGAUUAAGCAUUUUGUAUUACUAGGCUUGGUUUAGGUAUUAUUUUUUUGGACUAGCUGGUUACUUUAUUAUCAUUAAUAUGGUUAGUUCAUGGCAAGUUGAUUACGGAUUUAUACUAACAUUUGGGGUAUGAUUCUGAUUCCUUUCUCUUAUGAUUGUUUUAUUACGGAUAAUUAUCUCAUGUUUUGACUUUUGAACUAGGGACCCUUCAUUAUCCUUGCACUAGUUUCCUACUUGAUUAGGAUGGGUUGGGAUACUAGAUUGAAUACCUUAGGUUGUACCUCUGAGUUAGUUUAUAUAUAUAUGUAUAUAUUACCUCAUAUCCCUCCAUUCCUUUAUUUUCAUGUUGUAUAUCCACCCCUUGGCCUUUUAUACUACUAUAUAUUCCUCUUCUACCUUUUAUUAUAUAUUGGCUAGUGAUAUAAGGAAUAGUGCAGAGGUAUUUGAGUAUGGAUAGAAUUAGAUAAUUCAUCCUUAUUAUCUCAUUAUUCUAAUUAUGUUAGUUUCUAGACAUUUGGUUGUACUUUACAUUCCUACUUGCAUGUUAUUUAUAUAUUUGCAUUAUCUUUGAAACUCAGUAGGCAGCUGCCUACUUUGUACCAUGUGUUGGGUGGUAUACUACAAUUCUACAGACUACAUAUCAUAGUACGGGUUCUCACUAUUGUUGUGUGCCUCGUAUGGAGUAGCUAUGGAUUGGAAAUUUUGGGUAAGCUCAUAGCAUUCAGAGUAUUACUAUUCUACGUAUUAUAGAUCAAACUGGUCUCGAUGUUGUAUUCUAAGAUGGUUUAUAUCAUUAUAUUUAUUUAGUACUUCAUUUUGUAUUCAAGUUAUAUUAGAAGCUCUUGUACUGAUUCCACUAGGUUUUGGGGUUGUGUUAUAUAUAUUAAUAUUUUAUCAUAAUUUUUUUGCAUUUUUCCUAUCGUUUCUCUUGGCAGUCAGUUACUAGUAGUUUUAGACUACAUGUUGGCUUACCUAUUGGUGAGUUAUAGUAGGUGCCAUCAUGACCUAAGAAAUUAGGCCGUGAUAAAUUUGUAUUAGAGCCAGGUUUAUUGAUGUGUUGGUACAAGAGGUAAGAGUCUAGUAGAGUCCUAUAAAUUAAUGCAAAGACAUCUGUAACCUAUCUUUGGAAGGAAUAUGGCAUUCUUAGGAAAUUUUGUUCUUGACUCCUUAUCGUAUGUUUGUAUUUCUAUGAGCCUCAAGUACAUUCUUUGACUAUACUUUGUCCCAGAUGGAUAAUACGAGGUUAUUGAUAGAUGACGAUUGAAAUUUGGCCCAUAUUUCUUAAGCUUCAAUUCAGCAGUAAACUAGGGAGUUAGGGGUGGAUGUUAAAGAUCUUCAGCAUCGGUUGGAGAAUUUAGGGCCAACCCAGGAUCCAGUAGGGCUCAUGAUUACUUCAACCUUUCAAGAUUCAGUAUUAGGGAUUCCAAGAUUUUUUAUGAGUAACUCAUAGUCAGAGAUAACUUCUGGUUCAUGGAGAAGUUCCUAGUCCUGGGUUAGGGUUUUCGGUGUUCAGUAGAGUUCUUUAUCAAUUUUAGGGUAUAAAAUUGGGUUUCUUGAGAGGGCUAGGCAUAUUUCUAUGUUAUAUCUUUAGAGUGGAAGAUGGUGUGUGGUUUUAUUAGGGGACUAGCCUUGCCACUCUGUUUGGUCAGAGCAUUUAAUAGUAGUUGGGUCUACUUUCUCUCAAGUUAUUGACCAUGCGAUGGCCACAUAGUGAGCAUAUAUUGAGACUUAUAGAGUUGGCAAUAAGAGGUGAUGAGUGGCAAAUUUACCACCCAUUUUCACUUAACAUGUGUUCAUAUUACAAUGAUUAUAAGUAAGACAAAUUUGUGAUUAACUGCACUAAUUUCCACAUUUUGCAGGAAUAUAGGUCAUGAUAUGGAAAGAUAUGGAUUUGAGCGAAAAGGAUUAGAAAUGAGAAAAGAGGUGCAGCUAGAAGACCUGAAGUAGAAACAAUCCUCGACUACCGUGAACACAGUCAGAGGACCUCUAUCUCGAUCAGUGAAGCUAGGUCAAAGUACUGCAAUUAGAAGGUUCUGAUAGCGGUCACGGUAGCUACGAUCAUGGAUAAGCUCUCGGAUUGCGGCCUAGAAAAAAUACAGCCUAGGGUCAGAAAUGUAAAUGCACAAAGCUUUUCCUAAAUUCCCUUAAGAGGCUAAAACCUAUCUCAUUGAAAGGGAUCCCAAUUUUUGUGGAACUUUUCCACUAUCUUGUUUCCGAUUUAAAGAGAACAUUUUUGUUGUACAAAUUUAGGGUGAAGAAUAUAUUAGAGUAGCUUCCAAGUGGAGUACUGGCAAUUUUCUUUGAUGAUUUUUUGAACGUAAUAUUUUGAUUUGCAUUCUCUUUAUCUUUAAAUAAAUCAAAUUGAUGGAGA